GCUGUUAAAAAGUGCCUUUUAGAUGACACUUUCCGAAGGUGAAAAAACAAACACAAAAACAAAAACAAACAGACAUGAAAUGAAGUUGCGGAAGAGUAAGCACAGAAAGAAACAGACGAGUUUUCACCGGAAUAUGCAUAUCGCUUUCUUUGACCACUCACGCAUCGCACUCUCUCUCCCGCUCUGACCUACGCCGCAGAGUUGGGGGGCCGCCGCCACCAGUCAAUUCUAACCUCAAAAACUGGUCUAUGCACAGACUUGUUUUUGGACUGGCGCCCCGCGCUUCACCUCAUCCGCAGAGGCACACUCAUGCACAGGCACACAAAC